AGAAAAGAAGAGCUUCUUUUAGCUGUUUUUUUUCCUCAUUUUUGAAAGAAUCAGGAAAAGUUUUGUAUCGACUAUUACAGUAUUACAGAUGGCUUCUAUUGGUAGCUUCGUGCCAAAGAACUUGCUUAAAGUUCUCAGCUCCGAUCCUCAUAGGAUUCCAAGUAUUGUUAUGUAAGUUCGAUCUUAUUAUUUCUGCUCGUUGUUCUUAACAUCUUAACUUAUGCUAUUUUCUCCAUGCUAUAAGUUUUCAGUUGUGCAUUAAAUGAGAAGAAGAAAACCUCCAGUUUAUUCGUACAGAAGAUGAUCCAAAGAAUAAAAAUCGCCAUUUUGCAUAUAUCCAAUGAUGGAUUGUGUUGCAUUCUUGAAUAUUUCCACUGAUUUUCAAACUAAUUUAAUUUGCGUCUGCUCUGCGGUCUUACUUUUUUUCAGAAGAUGUGCUUCUAUAUCACGAGAAGGACCAAGCAGGCCCCCGAUUCAAACCAACCCUCCACAAAAUAAAGCGGCAACGGAUUCAACCGAUGAGAAAAUGGAUGCCAAUGCCGGAGGGCCAUAUUCACCAGUUGUAUACGAGGGCUAUUGAAGGCAGCAGAGUUGAUGAUCAAGGCCAUUCUUAUACAUUAGUCGCCCAUAAAAUCUAGAGUUGAAAUAGGAAUAGAAGAAGUUAAAAGAUGAUGAUCCAUGCAUUGACUAGUGAAUAGAAUUCUUUGUGGCUUUUGUUAGUCUCUGAAAUAAAGGUUUAUCUUCCCCUGAACUCUUUCUUCUUCCCCACACACCUUUUGUAAUGCAGUCCAGGAUUCC
rnacentral:lncRNA from 1 species